UCACUUCAAGAUGACAUUCUAACUUAGAAAAUUCAAUACAUUACCACAAAUGUGGAUACUUUGGCAAAACCUUACAAAAAUAGAAUGCGAACCAAAUUCUCAAUAUGACUAUAGGACUUAAUAUGUGACUUAUGAGCACUUACACAAGAAAACAAUUAAAGAAAAAAGAAAGGAAAGUAUAACGCUUUUAUGGAAUCAUAAACAUACUUUCAAGCAAGAAAAAGGAAAACCAACGGACGUGAAAGCAUCACUUGAUUAAGAGAACCUUGCCCUUGUUAUAUAUUUGAAAUGAAUAAAAAAAUAAUACUUUCUUUAAUGAUCAAGGUAUUUUUGGGGAUGGUUUUCAUGCAACAAGAUUAGGUUUUCUUCAGGAGGGAUAGUGUCCAAAUUCAAACUUGUACGUUUUUAAUCUAUAAAUUCCACUUCAAACAGAUAAAUACAAUUAAAUCAAAGAGAUUAAAACGGCUUAAAGCCAGAAACCAGGGUAUAUUAUCCAAUCUUCAGUAAUAAAUUCAAUUAAAAAAUUACUAAACAACUAACGUGCUAAUCUUCUUUCAAAAGAAUUUGAAACGUUCAUGUACGUACAUAUUUAUUAGGAACAUUCGCACUUGAGCAGCCUCUAAGACUAUUAUUGCGAAAGAAGUUUAUCCAUGAUACCCUUAGGUCCUUCUUUCCCUAAGCACACUAGAGGGACAUAUACCGUCAAUUUCUUAAGACAGACUGCAGUUGAAAAAUUUCCUCGACAAUCCCUGGAUAGUUUAUUUCAAGCUAAACUAGAAAAACUUAACUUCAACAUACAUCCAAGUUGAUUCAAGAAUUGAACCUUAUUGACAAUAAAAUCUAAAUACGCUGUUUCUUCCAUCAACAACUACUGUAAGGGAUGCUACCUCUUUGUUUUGAACUGACAAGAGAUGCUACUUCAUGUAUAUAACAGAUCACGAAUUGUUAUUACAAGGGAUCCUAACCUCUUCUGUUUUUUUAAUGGACAAGAGAUCCUACCACAUAUAACAGGUGUUUGCAUGCAUCAUAAUUAUUGCAUGAUAUUUUUUUUCUUUUUUCUAUGACUAAUCGAUAAUUAGUUUUCAACUUGGCAUAGGCUUUGUUCCGCUAAUCUAAUUACCGAAAUAAUACCUCUUUGUACGCUUUUUUUUUUCUAUUUUUUUUUUUUUUUGUAACUUGAAAACUUAUAGGAUAUAAGGGUACAAGUUGAUCUACGAACUCAUAGUCUUUGCUCACUUUGUUAGUAAUGAAGUGAAACUGCUAAAGUGUUUUACUCCUUAGGCAGUGUACCCAAAUCUGAUCAACAGGAAAGCCUACAAUCAUAAUACUAUCUCUAUAAGUAUACCAAAACACUCAACCCUGAGUUGGGCUCCUAGACCGUCAUCUGCACAAUUCAGAUUUAUUUGAGGCCAAUAUGCGCGAUAAGUGGAGUUUAUAAUACGGAUUUUCACCUCUAUAUCGUACACAAAAACUUCAAAUCCCAGAGAGAAAAAUAAUUAGAAAGGAAAAAGGCAUGAGAAAAGGAAUCACUGGGAUCGUAGUAGAGGAUAACAAGACAAUCCCAAAGUCCUGCAAGGAUCAAGGUCUGUGCUACUAUGUGUACACGUGUCUGACCUGUUUAUUUCUGAGAGAGAGGCACACUAAUGAGAUCUUGCAUAGAACCCUAGGGUGCAGGAACCAUACCCGCAUGGUACAUGAAAAUGAAAAGGAAAAACAAUGCAGGAACUCAAAAGCUUCCAUGGAAAGAGGAGGGUGGUUUGAUAA